GGGGAAUAUUGCGCAAUGGGGGAAACCCUGACGCAGCGACGCCGUGUGAGGGAAGAAGGCUUUCGGGUCGUAAACCUCUGUCGGGAGGGAAGAACCUUCCAGGUCUGAACAAGCCCUGGAACUGACGGUACCUCCAAAGGAAGCACCGGCUAACUCCGUGCCAGCAGCCGCGGUAAUACGGAGGGUGCAAGCGUUAAUCGGAAUCACUGGGCGUAAAGCGCGCGUAGGCCGCCUUCUAAGUCGGACGUGAAAGCCCUCGGCUCAACCGAGGAACUGCGUUCGAAACUGGGAGGCUUGAGUCCUGGAGAGGGUGGCGGAAUUCCGGGUGUAGGAGUGAAAUCCGUAGAUAUCCGGAGGAACACCGGUGGCGAAGGCGGCCACCUGGACAGGUACUGACGCUGAGGCGCGAAAGCGUGGGGAGCAAAC
rnacentral:rRNA from 1 species